ACCAUUACUAACCCCUCAUGUACCAAAUAAAAUUAAACAAACCAUUUUUCCCCCUAAGUAUGGGCGACAGAAAAGGAACAUUGAAGCAAUAGAGAAAGUACCGCAAGGGAAAGCCUGAAAG
rnacentral:rRNA from 1 species